rnacentral:lncRNA from 1 species
AAAUAUAAGAAGACUGAUUAACUUUGGUGGGCAAGGGGAUCAGACUAAAAUAUAUAUAUUUGUAUUUGAAAGGGUCUUUUGAUUUUAUACUGGGGUGCUUGCUUCAGCAGCAUGUAUACUUUCUCUCUCUCUUUUUUUUGGUACCGGGGAUCGAACUCGGGUCCUUGCGUUUGAGUGACAGGCGGUGGAACCACUGAGCUAAAUCCCUGUCGACUUUUAAGUUACUUUCUAAAAAUCUAAAUAUAAUGUUCUAGAUUGUACAUUGUACUUAUAAGAACUGAACAAAGCAAGAGCGAGUGCAGUGUCCUUAGAGUUGAUGUGGGUUUUUUUUUUUUUUUUUGGGUACCGGGGAUCAAAUUCGGGAUCUUUUGUUUUAGAGGCAGGCGGCAGCACCACUGAGCUAAAUCCCCCCCCUCCCCUUUUUUUUGAGGCAGGGUCUUCUUGCCAUGUAGUUCUAGCUGAUUUUGAACUGAUUAUGUAUGUAGCCCAGGCUGGCCUCGAGCUUGGGGCUGUCCUGUCUCAGCCUCCCAAGUGCUGGGAUUACAGGUGCGCCACCACAACCUGCUGUGAUGUGGUUCUUUUAAAAAAUUAUUUAUUUAUUUAUUUAUUUUUGGUACCGGGGAUCGAACUUGGAACCUUGUGCGGCAGGUGCCUGCACCAUUGAGCUAAAUCCUGGGCCCUGUGAUGUGGUUCCUUAUUGACCUCUUUCAGUGGGUUAGGCAAGGUGCCAAGACUUUUUGUAUGCAUUAUCUCAUUUAAUUUAAUCCUCAUAAUUGUUCUCUUUUUGUAAAUUAAGAAGUUAAACAAUUCAGGGCACAGAGCUAGUGGAUAACAGCUGGAUCCAGCCUGAGUUUGCCAAAUGCCUUCUUUAAAUCCUGUCUGAUUUUCUUUUUAUUUUGGUAUCAGGGAUGGAACUCAGGACCUUGUGCUUUGGAGGCAGGCACGGUGCCACUGAGCUACAUCCCUGGUUGACCUAGUUGAAACUUGGGUCUGAUACACCAUUAAUUUUGAUAAAGAUUGGAUCAGUAGGCAGUACUUGUAGAGUUUAUGGAAACUUUAUUGUUCUUGUAAUUUAGCAAAGCUUUUGGGACCUGAUAAGGCUAAACGUCUUACUCAGGGUUUGUCUUGUGAUCACACUUGAUUUUCUGUUUAGUGUACUGCUGAAGCACUAUGCAUACGUGUCAGUCUUGUAGAAGUCUAGACAGCUGGUCGUGGAGCCAAAACCAAUUAAUUAACUCUGGAAAACAAUUGAAAACUGCUCAGUGUUCAAGUGCUCUCCAAGCACCUGUUGAGUCCACAGUUGAUACUGGCAUUACCUCUAAAUAUAGGCCUGAUCCUCUUAGAAACCAAGAAUGAAACUAGAAGGGGGGAGAAACAGCUGGGGCCUGAGGGAGGAGCCACAGGUUACUGGCGGAAACAUCAACCCCUGGAGGCAGAUCAGGCUGCAGAUUCUAGGGAAUGGCAGAAGGGGAAGGAAUUUUCUUUUUUUGAGAUUUUCUGUAUCUAGGCAUUGGCCUGUGUGAGAUAGAUGUAUAUGUGUGUUAGAAAAUAGUUAUAUUGGGGCCGGGGAUUUAGCUCAGUGGUUUUGCCGCCUGCUGUGCAAGCACAAGGACUGGAGUUUGAUCCCUGGUACCAAAAAAUAAAGAAAGAAAAUAGUUAUAUUAUCCCCAUUUCUCAGGUGAGGCUCAGAAAGGCUAGGUAACUUUCACAAAGUCACUUAAUGGCAAUGAAGGAAGAUUGAAUGUAGUACUAUUUUUGAAAUUGUUGCUCAGAAGUUUCCCACUAUAUAGCCACCAUAUUAAAGUUGGGAAUUAAAGAUCAGUCUUGGAUCCACUUCGCUUCUCUUUUAGAAGUAAAACAUUAUAUUAGUCUGACAGUCUGGCUGCGUCUCUUUUCUUUUUCCUAAGAUAAGGUCUCAGUAUGUUUCUCAGGCUGGUCCCAAACUGUUGGGAUCAAGUGAUCCUCCCGCCUCAGCCUCCUGUGAGUAGCUGGGUCUUACGUGUACACACCACUGGGCCAGGGUACACAUUUUGUCACUUUGUUUAUCCAUGCAUCCUCAAUGUACAUUUAAGGUGCUUCCCACUUUUUGACUAUUGUGAAUAAUGCUGCUUUGAAAAAUUCUUUGUUUUUUGUUACUGGGGAUCGAACUCCGGUCCUUGCGCUUGCACAGUAGGCAGUGAAACCACUGAGCUAAAUCCCCGGCCCUGUAAUGCUGUUUUGAACAUUGAUGUACAAAAUCUGUUGGAGUUCCUGCCUUCAGUUUUUUUUUUUUUUACUUUUUUUUUUUUUUUUUUGUACCUGGGAUUGAACUGAGGACCUUGUGCUUGUGAGGCAGGCAGCGGAACCACUGAGCUAAAUCCCUGGUCUCUGCUUUCAGUUUUUAGGGUAUAUACACAACAUGGAAUUACUGUAUUAUGUGGAAAUUCUGUGUUUAAUUUUUGGGGGCAGCAUGGUUACUUUAAAAUGGUCAUUUUAUUACAUGUUCACCUAAAGGUAGCACUUGGUCAUAUGUAUGAAGGAUGGUGCUUCCUCAACUGACUUCCUGUAUUAUUUUUUUUACUUCCUAUAUUAUUAGAAUGACGCCUGUUGUAGAAAUGGCUCAAAAAUAAAUGUUUUACUCAGUUUUCUUGUAUCCGUGUGGAAGGUACCAUUUGUGACAUACAGGUCUUUCAGGUGCAAAUGUGGAUGAUUGUCUUUAGAAUGUCUGAAAAAUGUCGGUUGUAGAAAGCAUUUUCAGCAUACUUUGCUGCCUUUGGUUGGAAUUCAGGGUUUUUAAUUUUUGUUUUUUUGCUGUGCUAGGAAAUCAAACCAAGGGCCUUACUCAUGCAAGGCAAGCACUUUACCUUUGAGCUAUUCCCCAAGUCCUGCUUUUUCAUCUAAAAAUAUUUUAGGGCCAGAGAUUUAGCUUAGUGGAACUGCGCCUGCCUCCCAAAUGCAAGGUCCUGAGUUCGAUCCCUUGUACAAAAAAAAAUUUUUUUUAACUUGUGUGAGCUGCUGGUUACUGCUUACUGUGUGUAUCUUUUCUUCAUUUACUUUUAAAAAGUUUGAGUGCCUGUUGUAUGAUUUUCAUCUUUUUGUUUGUUUGUUUGUUUUGGUUUUUUUGGUACCAGGGAUCCAACUCUGGUCCUUGUGCUUGCACAGCGGGUGGCGAAAUCACUGAGCUAAAUCCCCAGCCCGGUAUGAUUUUUAUCUUUUUGGUGUUUUGAGACAGGAUCUUGCUGUGUAGUUUAGGCUGGCCUUGUACUCAGAGCAGUUCUCCUGCCUCAGCCGCCUGAGUGUUGGAGUGCUGGGAUUACAGGCACAUGCCAGCACAUCCAGUCUUGUAUGCUCUAAAUAUUUAUAACAAGUGCCUGCAGUACAUGGACAGAACUAUGUGUUUCUGGCUGGUCUUGAACUCACUGUGUUGCCCAGGCUGGGGAAGUCACAGUGAUCCUCUUGCCUCAGCCUCCAGACUGCUGGGAUCACGGGUGGCAUCGUAUUUGGUGGAUCUGAAAUAUUUUUCAAGAUUUGAAAAUACUUUAUCUUUAGGUGCUGGAUGGUAAGGAUUGGCCAGAGACCAGUCAGUAUUCACUCUCCCUGUUCACAUACACCAUGGCAGUCUUAUGUGUGGGUUCCUGAAAUAUGCACCAUCUUCUCCACACAGUAGAGGCUUUCAGCCCUUAAAACAUUCUGGUGGCCUAAAGGUAGUAGUUAGCUAACAUAGCCAUUAGCUUAGAGACAGCUUCUGUGACCAACGACCAAUGACUGAUUUGUGUUUGGGCACAAGUUUGGAGGUCUUGGGGACUUCCAGGAGUUAUAUGAGUUUUUUGUUUUGUUUUUUCGGUACUGGGGAUUGAACUCAGGACCUUGCACUUGCCAGGGAGCUAUAUCUCCAGCUCUUAUAUAAGUUUUUUUCCCCCCCUUAUAUGAGGUUUCUUUUUUUACUGGCCCAAACAAACCCUAAAGAACAACCCUGGCUUGCUAGUAAGAAGAGGAUUUGUACUUAAUUAGCAGGACCAUGUGAUUACUAGUUGUGGAGUGUAAGUUCCUCUUUGGAAAUAGGCCAAACACUAUUGGGACAGAGAAGGAGUUGUUUUUUUUAACAGGGUUUCUCUGUGUAGUUCAGGCUGGCCUUGAACUCACUAUGUAGCCCAGUCUGGCCUCUAACCUUCAGUGAUCCUCCUCCCUCAGCCUUCCAGCCUCCCAGGUACUGGGAUUAUAGGUAUAUAUGCAUAUCCCACCAUACAUGGCCCUUAAGAAGGAUUAUCAUUUUUUGGUACUGGAUUGAACUCAGGACCUUGUGCUUUCGAGGCAGGUGGCACCACUGAGCUAAAUCCCUGGUGAUUUUCAUGAAUUGGAGGCCCGCGUGGGCUACAUAGUUCAAAACGAACCUGAACUAUUUAACGAGACCCUGUCUCAAAAAACCUCCCUCCCAGUUUUUGUUUUUUUGUUUUUUGUUUUUUUUGGAACUGGGGAUUGAACUCAGGACCUUGUGCUUGCCGGUUUUUUUGGUACCUGGGAUGGAACUCAGGACCUUGCUCUUUCAAGGCGGGCGGUGGAACCACUGAGCUAAAUCCCUGGCCCCUGUUUUUAUGUUUAUUGUCACUUAGAUUUAUGGUGUGGUCAGAAGAAGACAGAUGAGGACAGGAGAUUCAAGUAAUUAUUAAUUUAGAAUUUCACCUUGUAGUUGGGAUUGUACUAUCUUGAAUUAAUGAAUAUUUUCUGCCAGGUUUAUAUGUAGGUAGACAUGCUCAUUUCAUCAUGUCAUGGUUUAGAGAAAGGUAUUAGUUUUGUUUUGUUUUUUUUGGUACUAGGGAUCAAACUCAGGACCUUGAGUUUGCAAGGCAGGCUGUGGCACCACUAAGCUAAAUCCCAGGCCCAAGGGUACUAGUUUUAAGCAGAGCAUUCAGAAAGCCGUAUGCAAUUUUUUUUUUUAGCUAGGGUCUCAUUAUGUAGUCCAGGCUGGCCUUGAACUUGUGGCUGUCCUCCUGCCUCAGCCUCCCGGGGGUGCUGGGAUUACAGGAGUGUGCAACCAUGCCUGGCUUGGCUAAAUUUGGUUAUUUUCUUGGAAUAAGGGGUGAGAAGUACACUUGUGUGUAUUCUGGAACUGGUGACUUUCAAAUCCCUCUUAAAAGCCCUCUGCCCCAUACUCUGCAGCGUUCUCCAGAACUCUGCUGCCUUUUGAGAGGCCCUGUGCUUGUCCCCAUUCUGUGAACCCUGCCUGCUGUGCCUUCUGAGCUGAUUUGUGUCUCCUCAUGCUGAUGCAAAUACUCCUUGUUUUGGCUUGUAAAUUUAUUAUGCACUUUAAUAGCACUUAUCCAAGAGUACUUUUUUUUUUUUUGAGACAGGGUCUGGUUAUGCAGUUUAGGUUGCCUUUGAACUCACUUGUGUAUCCCAGGCUGGCCCCGAACUUGCAGUGAUCUUCCUGCCUCAGCCUCCUGAAUGCUGGGAUUAUAAGCAUGUCCCACCAUACCCAGCUCCAAGACUUAAAAAUAUGCAUUAAUUGUUUUUAAAGCAAUGCAUGUAUUUAAAAAAUUGAACAGGAUAGAAGUAAAUGAUGAAAACAGUAUCCCCACUUUCUCAAAGGCAGUCACUGAUAGUACUUUCUCUUAUAUUCCAGAUAUAGUCUUUGGUCAUACCAAAAUCAGUCACUCUUUAUUAUUAUUAUUAUUUUGUUUGUUUUGUGGUUUUUUUUGGUACUGGGGAUCGAACUCGGGUCUUUGUGCUUGGGCAGCAGGCGGGAAACCACUGAGCUAAAUCCCUGGCCCUAUUAUUUUAUUAUUGUUUUGCAGUUCUGAGAAUUGAAUCAGUGGCCUUGUGUGUGCUAAACAAGCACUCUUCCAUUGAACUAUAGCCCCACCUCCAGAGUUUUUAUACUGUAUGAAAUGUUUACUGGGCGUAGUGGCACCCAGCCUGUGGGAGGCUGAGGCAGGAAGGUUGUCCCGAGGCCAGCCUGAAUUACAAAGCUGAGACCCUGUCUCAAAAAAAAAAAACCCUUAAAACCAAAAUAAAAAAGAGAUGCUUCUUUUUCUCAGAUUUUAUUAGAAAAUAAUUUAUGAAUAUUGAAAAAAGUUCAAGCAUUGUAGAAAUAUAUAAAAUGAAAAGCAAAAGCUUCCUUUACCUUGAUCCCUAAUUCUAGCCCUUCCCAAACAACACCUCCCUCUCCAUGUCCACUCUCCCCACUGGGCAUGGUGGUGCAUGCCUCUACUUAGGAGGCUGAGGCAGGAGGAUAACAAGUCCAUGGCCAUCCUAGGCAAUUUAGUGAGACCUUGUAUCAAAUAAAAAGUGCUGAGAUGAAACUCCGGUUGAGUACCUCUGGAUUCAAUUCUCUGUACUGCAAAUAAAACAAAACAAUCCUCUUUCCAAAGGUAACCUUGUAUAAACCUAGUGUGUACAUUUUAAUUUUGUUUUACUUAUAUUUACAUGACCACGUAAGUGUCAUUAUUUUUAUUUUUUAUUUAUUUACCCCCAUUGUUGGGGAUUGAACCUGUUGCUCGAUCACUCAGUUAUACCUCCAGAUUUCUAUUAUUAUUUUACCCUUUUUUUUUUUUUUUUUUUGCUACCGGGCAUCAAACUUAGGACCUUGCGCUUUUGAGGCAGGUGGCGGCACCACUGAGCUAAAUUCCCGGCCCUAUUUUACUAUAUUUUAUAUAUAUCAGGGUAAGUUUUUGUUCUUUUUUUUUGUACCAGGCAUCGAACUCAGGACCUUGUGGUUGCGAGCCAGGUGUGGCACCACUGAGCUAAAUACCCAGCUUUCUCUUCUUAAUAUAUAUAUUUUGGAGACAUUUUCAUAGUAAUACAGAGCUACUUUAUUGUCUGAUGGUGUUCAUUCCAUAAUAUUCAUAUGCCAUUUUAUUAUUAUAUUUUGAGAUAGGGUCUCCCUUUGUAGUUCAGGCUGGCCUUGAAUUUAUGGCAGUCCUGCCUCAGCCUCUCAAAUGUUGGCAUUACAAAUGUGCGCCAUCCUGCCUGCACAUAUGCCAUUUUAUUUUAUUUUAUUUUAGGUUCCUGGGAUUGAACUUGGGUCCUUGUGCUUUCAAGGCAGGCAGCAGAACCACUGAGCUAAAUUCCCAGCCCGACAUAUGCCAUUUUAUUUAACCAUUAUCCAAUUAAUGAAUGUUCAUGUGGGGCUGGGGAUUUAACUCAGUGGUUCUGCUGCCUGCCUGGAAAGUGCAAGGUCCUGAGUUCGAUCCCUGGUACCAAAAAUAAAUAAAUCAUUGUUCACAUGUUUUUUAUCUGGUGUGUUCCUAAUAAUGCUACCUUCACCACAUUUUUAUAUACUUCCCCUUGGACAUGUAUGAAUAUUUUUCUAGGCUGGUGGGUAUGAAGAUAUGUUCUUCUAAAAAUUUUCUUGAGUACUGCUGAAAUGAUUUUUUUUUUUUUUGGUAUGGGGAUUGAACUCAUGACCUUGUGCUUGUGAGGCAGGCGCAGUGCCACUGAGCUAAAUCCCUGGCCUCCCAAAUGAUUUUUUAAAAAAAUUCUUACUUUUAUAUUUGGGUACUGGGGAUCAAACUUAGGCCCUUGCGCUUCAGGGCAGAUGGCGGAACCACUGAGCUAAAUCCCCAGCAAAAAAAUUCUUUUGAAAUAAUUUUAGAGUUAUAGAAGCAUAAAGAUAGCACAGAGAUCUUCCGUGUAGCUUUCCCCUAGUUUUUCCUAAUGUUAAUGUCUUUCAUGACCGUAGUGCAUUUACAGUAUUGUUAAAUUAUACUUUGUUUGGAUUUCCCAUUUUCCCACAAAUGUUAUAAAAAGUUCCUAGACACAGUCUAGGAUUCUGUUCUUCUGGUAUAAGUUCUCUUUAAUUUUAUCGAGUUUCACAAUUUCUGAGUCUUUCCUUGUCUUUUUUACCACCUGCAAGUUUUGGGUAGUAUAGUACUGGGGACUGAAUCUAGGGCCUUUGCACUGAGCUACAUCCCAGACCUUUUUUUUUUUUAAAUUAAUUUUUUUUCUGUUACUGGGGUCAAACUCAGGACCUUGCGCUUGCCAGGCAGGCAUGGCGCCACUGAGCUACAUCCUCAGCCCUUUUUAUUUUUUCUUUUUCUUUCUUUCUUUUUUUUUUUUUUUUUUGGUACUGGGGAUCAAACUAGGGUCCUUGCGUUUGUGCAACAGGCGGCGAAACCACUGAGCUAAAUCCCCGGCCCAUUAUUUUUUAUUUUGAGACAGGGUCUUUCUCGGUGCUGAGUUGCCCAGGCUGGGUUCAAACUUGUGAUCCUCCUUCCUCAAUUUCCCAGAGUGUUGGGAUUACAGGUGUGCACACCAUGCCCAUUGGGAGUGGAUGAAUUUAACUGGGACACCCACCUCCUUUCAGCCUCCCAAGUGCUGGGGUUAUGGGUGUGUGGCACCCCUCUCCCCGACCACCUUGUUUUUGUUUUGGUAUGAGAUGGAACACAGGACCUUGCACCUGGGAGGCAGCUGCCGAAACCACUGAGUUAAAUCCCUGCCCCAGUAAUACAUUUUCCAUUACAAAUGGAUUAACCUGAAAUUCCAGCUACAUUGUUUCAAGCAGAAUAGAAACAAACUGCAAAAAUCCAACUCAGAAGAAUCUGGAAAAUUGCACUACUUCUGGCCAUCCUUUCUGUGUCCAGAUCUUUUUUAAAAAAAUCUUUAGAUUUAGGUUAGGCAUGGUGGCCCAUGACUGUAAUCCCAGCACUUGGGAGGCUGAGGCAGGAGGAUUGCUGUAGGCCAGCCUGGGCUAUGUAAUGAGUUCAAGGCCAGACUACACAGUGAGACCUCAAAAAAAAAGCUGGGCAUGGUGGCACACAUUUGUAACUUCAGUACUUUGGGAGGCUGAGCUGAGGCUGGAAGAUGGCAAGUUCAAGCCAAGCCUGGGCAGUGUAGCGACUUGGCAAGACAGUCUCAAAAAAAUAAAACCCAACAACAACAAUAAAAAACAACAUGCUGGGCAAGUAGCUCAAUGUGAAGGCCCUGGAUUCAGUCUUUAGUACUUGGGGAAAAAGCACCUGUGUCUAGACCGCUGGUAUCAUUGUCAUAAAAAGUACCUGUGCGGAGAGGCGGAGACAAUAUUAGAAGUAUUUUAAUUUUAAAAGCUCUUUACUAGCAGCUCAAUAUAGAGGACUUUUAAAUCUCUGUCUGCUUAGAAAAGUAAUUUAAGCAAGUGGUGAAGAAUUAUAGAAUCAGGACUGGAACAAGUUUUGUUCAGUAGAUAUCCAAAUAUACUGUAACUACUGUGUUUGACAGUGGGAUACUGAGGCGAAUAAGACAAGGUUCUUUGCCUUCAUGAGCCUUACUAGCUAAUCUUCCAAGUCUCACCUAUUCUCACUUUAUGUUGUAUUAUAGAAAUUAAAGCUUAAGAGAUCAAAUAACCUGCCCAGGGCUAAGUAGCUAGUUUCUGAUGAAAUAGAACUGGAGGCUGGGCAUGGUGGCACACUUCUGUAGUCCCAGUGCUUGGAAGGCUGAGGUAGAAUUGCUACAAGUUUGAGACCAGUCCAGGCUACAUAGUGAGUUCAAGGCCAGUCUCAACUACAUAGCCCUAAGACCCUGUCUCCCCCCGCAAAAAACCCCAAAAAACUAGAACGCAAGUUUCUUACAUGGGAGAUAAAAGCAAAACAUCUACUUAUUUAUGCAAAAUUUUGAGUGCUCACUAAGGCGUUUAAGGUCCCUGUAUGGGGUGCUGAAAAUUACAGUGGUAAGUAAAAUACCCAUAUCCCUUUGAUACAGAGAUCAAAAAAAUUUUUUUGAAUUUAACAUUUUCUUCCACUGUGCUGUAUUAUAAUUAGUUUAUAAACAUUUUUUCUUGUGGAAGGGUUCAGGCCUAUCAAAUGAUUUUUUGGUAAGUGUGAGUGUCUUGUCACCAGUUCGGACUGAAGAGGUUCACUUGAGAUUCAGACAGCCCCAAGACGAGACACAGGACUGUGGACUGGAUUAAACAUCCUUAUUCUUAGGUGCUCAGCCUUGAACACUCGAAUGGCUGUCCUCAGUCCCCUAGCUCCACGCUUCUCACAGCAGUCCUUGGGUGCUUAGUCUCUCCUAGCCCUCAUGGCAGUCCACAUUUAUAGAUCAAAAUACACAAUAGUGGUCAUGUGCCCGGAACAAUCGUGGUUAUAUGAAUUAUUCUCACUGGCCAGUAUUGACCUUGGCUGUAGAAGUUCUUUACAUUUUGGGGAAAUGGAAGAUGCUCUUGCGCUGGAGCUCUGUUGACACAGAACCCACUGCAUCCCAAACGCCCUUCUUUCACAGCCUGCCCCGAAACACUGCCAUCUUGCCCUUUUGCAUUUCUCUACAGUGGAGUGCUGGGAAUAUAGUUGGACCUUGCACAUGCAAAGAGUGUGCAUUUGCCAUUGAGAUAACAGCCCCACCCCUUAAAUAUUUAUUCUUUAAUGUGACUAAGUUCAGUGUGUUUAAUGUGUAUCUGGCACUUGAAGUUAGUGUUAUUUAUUUUUUCUUUUUUUGGUACCGGCGAUCCAACUCAGGACCUUGCAGUUUCAAGACAGGCAGUGGAACCACUGAGCUAAAUCCCCACCCCAAAGUUAGUGUUAUUGAAGGACUAAGAAAGGCAUAAUUAGGUAGUUGUGGGAUUUUUUUUUUUUUUUUUUUUUUUGUAUUGGAGAUUGAACUCAGGACCUUGUUGUUGUAAGGUAGGCAUGGUGCCACUAAGCUAAAUCCCUGGCCCAGGUAGUUGUGGGUUUUGAUGUUUACUUAUUUCAGAAUUAGGUAAGGCCUAACGCUUUGUUUUGUGAGCAGAGAGAACUGCUCCCUUUGGAUUGGAAGACUUUCUGCUCUCAAGAGCCAGAGCUUAGACUGUCAGUUAAAAUCAGAUGACUUUUGUACACUGACCUUUUCUUUCUGUUUAGUUAUUCACCUAAUGUAAUAUAAAAUCUCUUUUUUUUUUUUGAGACCAGGUCUCAUUUUGUAGUGUAGGCUGACCCUGAAGUCACUAUGUAUUCCAGGCUGGCCUCGAACUCAGGGUAUUCCUCCUGCCUCAGCCUCCUAAAUGCUGGGAUUACAGGUGGAUGCCACCACUCCUGGCUGUUAUAUAAAAUCUUUUUAAAAGUUUUCUUUAUAGAAUAGACUUGGGUAUCUGUAUUCUUAAUAUUCAAAGAAUCAUACGUAAGGCAGAAUGUAUAUUUUAAAUUUCCUUAAACUAAUUAUGACUGUAUUUGAUUUUUUUCCUCUUAGUACUUGCUAGAACAGUUAAACAUUGAUAGUCUAGGAAAAAGUGAAAAAAGGUUAAUUAAACCACUGUUGAAUAAUGUAGACUGUUUUAGUUAUUUGGUGGCUUAGAGGAUUACGGCCUUUUCCCUAAAAAUGUGUAGUUAAACAUACUUAUACAAUGGAGAAAGUAAUUACCCUUCCAGAAGGAAGUUUCCUUAACCUCAGGCCCCCUUACUAUUUUUCUUCCAGAAGGCCUUCUGCCACUCGGCUGGGGCCAAUUAAUUUUUGGCUCAGCUGUUUUAGUUUCCCUACAGAAGUUGGACUUACCUAUGUUAAUAAUCUGUGAAAAUCAAAUUCCAGUUUUUUAUUUUAAGAGAGCUAGAACGUUAAAUUCCCUGCCAAUAAUUAAUUUAGUAAGUUACUGUAUGCUAGCUAUGAUUAUUUUAGUUCGGCAGGUAUAACCAUAUUUUAAAACACUACAUAUUGAUGUAGAGGAGGUAGCAUGACUGUGGAAUUCAAGUUACCUCAUAAUUUAAAAAGUAUUUGAGGGCCCAGGGAUGUAGUUCAGUGGUGCCACGCCUGGCUGGCAAGCACAAGGUCCUGAGUUCGAUCCCUAGUACUGGGGGGGAAAAAAAAGGGAAAAAUAGGACUAGUAAGCAGGUGAUCAUUGACUGUGUAUGUAAAUAAUUAGAAGUGACUUCAAACACUUAGAUUGGC